rnacentral:lncRNA from 1 species
AUCACAGCAGUGGCCACUCAGCAGAAUCCAGGGGACUGCUUAAUGAGGGGUGAAGACAAUAUGGACUCGGAGAGGCGGCCGGUUGCCUUUUCACAGUUGUGUUGAGGAAGGGACUGGUGUCAGAAGGAACUGUUAAAAGUCAGAGUCCCUGCAUGCAGUCCUGGAUCCUUUAUUUGUUCAGUAGGAGACGCCCCAGAACCCCGAUGUCUGAGGUCAUGGAGUGUGCAUGCCCAAAGAGAACAGAAAUGAAGAUCUGGUUGCUCAUGAUUUUGGUGUCUUAGCUAAGGUUCUAUUUCGAAGUCCUCGAUUAGGAAGACCUGCAAAAUACCCAGCCAGCCAUUCCACUUCUCCUGCUAGCCCAGCUGACAUCCAGCCUGCCCUGGAAUCACAGGUGUCCCGCUAACAGAGCCACGGACCUUGAAUGGGCAUUUUCCUUCCUUUCCACCCUGGAGCUGAGAGGCUAGAACAUGAGAUUCUCUGUGCUAUCCAAUUUCCCCAAGUAGAAGACGUAUAUACCUUUGACCGCCUCUAAGUAUCUUUCUUUUGGGCAUCUUUUUUUCUUUCCCUUGAAUUAGGGGGGGUCGAAGUCACCUGAUGGGCUGAUCUUUUCAGCUGCUAACUUAAACUUUCCAUUUCCAGAAUGCACACAGAUCCUAGAUCAAGGCCUCCAGUGGAAUACUGCAGGUAUAAAUGACCAAGAAACUGCAGCCCUCAACUGAUCUGACAAGCCCAGGGUAGGACGAAGCUUGCUUUUUCUCCUCAAAAGUAUUCAAGCGUCCCUCAAGUUCUCAGCACAAGGGUGUCAAUGACUAUGUCACCCUUUAGCAAGCAGGCAAGUUGGGGAGUUGUUGUUGUUCUAGUGUGAUUAAAGGUAAAAUAAGGUGUGUGUGUGUGUGUGUGUGUGUGUGUGUGUGUGUAUGUGUGUGUGCAACCAGAGGCAAAGCCAUUGUUCUGCACCAUUAAGCUCACAGCAGCCCCCCAAAGAAAUUAUAGGCGGCUUGCCGAUGGCCCUAAUGAAGAGCAUCUCUUUGAAUUAUCUCUGGAUGAGUAAAGGAUCAAGCCAGAGCCUUAGAAUAUUUGAUCCUCUUUGUGCUGCCUGUUAUGAAGGCUUUACUGAAGCCAGACACCCCGGACUUUCUGGAACUGUAAUUUAUGGAAACCUUAAUUUCUCUGUUCUAAUAAGGUUUUGCAUAAUAAGGGUGAGGAUACAAUUACUAAUUCCUGCAAGAGUUUUGUGAAUUCCUCUGUGCUAUGGUUCGGGCGCCCGAAGAAUAGGCGGGAGAAGGGAUUUUACUUAGCUGGCACAAGGGAAGUGGGUCUGAGAAGUAGUUUGGGCUCCCUGAAAAUAAAUCUGCAUGGUUCCUUAAGCUGCUGACAACAUGCAUUUCAGGUGGAAGUCAUUUAUCAGCAGCUCACCAAAUGAUACUUCAGACAGAAAUAGCCCCACAAAAUUUUACCUAGUAAAAACCAAACUGAAUCCAGAUUCCUUCUUCUGGGACUGUAGUCUGGGCUUAAGAGCAUAAAUAAUAAGGUUGAAUGAAAAAUAGGUUGCCACAGAUUUGUUGUAGAUAUCAUAAAGUUGACUUUGGGAAGGGGCUCACUAUCAAAUGUAUAUGAAGUUCACCUAAAUGGAAGCUACAUGAUAGUUUUGGUGCCAAACCAAACCAAACCAGGAACAGAGUUUUGGAAAUGACCAUGUAACUUACUCCCUCUGCAGUAGCCAAGCCUAACCUAGCACACUGCUUAGCCAACAGGGUCUGGUACUCAGCUCAUUUCACUUUUAAAUUUUGGCUCAAAAAGAGAUCCCCCAGAUCAUCAGGUAAACUGAGGCUUUGAACAUCCCGCAUGAUGACAUGUGGGAUGGGGGCCAGAUCAUCAGUGGUGGCAGUACUGAUGCUCUCAGACAUCCCUAGACUGCUGGGAACAAGGCAUGCGUCCCACUAAGUCCUGACCAUGGGGUUGGAAGGCAAGGAUAUUUCUAACACUUAAGACACUUGUUUUUUAACAGGUGGGACAGUUCAAAAAACCUUAGAAUGCUUACACACUGACCCUUUAUAUGCCGUACUGCAGAGAGCAGGCAGACAUACAGACAGACACACCUUUUAUUCACCCAGUAGCAUCCCAGUAUCAUUAGGUUUUGCUCACAGACGCAAGUUCAGCUGCCUUGCUGUGUCUUGCUAGGGACACACGCCCUCUGGUGGCUCAUGUGAAAAUAACACGCAACUAACUGAUCAAAUUCCUUUUAAAGUCAAGCCUGGUUCUUUAAAAUGUAUUAAUUAGCCAUUUGUUGUUAUAAACAAGAAACCCACCCAUUUUUUUUUUUUUUUGCUUUCCAUCAUGUUAUUCUCCUAUUAUGAUU